AACUUUUUCCCAAGGGAGAAGCUGGGAGCAGCAGUAAGAAAGGGAAAGGCACGGUUUCAGAGUAGUUUCGUUUGGUUUUUUUUGGUGAGAUUUUUACGCCCUUUUUAUUUUUUCCUUUUUCCCUUAUUGUUCUAUCAAAUGGUGAAACUGGCAACGAUGGUAGGAGAUGGAAGUUUAACUGUUGCUGCAUGCAGAUAGCAUACAUGCUAAUAAUGUUUGUAUUCCUUGCGGUGUGGUUCGACUGAUAUGGAAAGAAAUGGAUAGUAG
rnacentral:lncRNA from 1 species